UUCAGUUCUCUAGGGCAUCCCGUCAGCAUCUCACACUCACGGCAUCCCUAAUCACCACCACCACAACCGCAUUCAUCACAUCUCGUCAUUUCAUCCUCAUCUCUAGGGCAUAGAUUUCCAUCUCAUCUAUGUCCUCAUCCUCGAUCUCAAUCUCUCUCGAUCAUUCUAGGCCUCGUGAUCCAAAGCUCUAGAUCAUCAUCCACCUUGCUCCUCUCCCUUGUCAUCAAUGCUAGUCUUUCAGUGUUGUUGCUGCUCUUGAAGGUGCUAAGUGUUUCACUACUAGUUAAAGAGACAAACUCAGAGUUAGGCCCAAUUGAUUGCUUUAAAAAAUUCCACACUAAAAGGAUGGAGAAACUUGGGCUACU